rfam:Triticum aestivum genome assembly, contig: Triticum_aestivum_CS42_TGACv1_scaffold_603543_7DL
CAUGUACUCCCUCCAUCCGGAAUUAUUUGUCCCAGGAAUGGAUGUAUCUAAAUGUAUUUUAGUUCUAAAUACAUCCAUUUGUAUCCAUUUCUACGACAAGUAUUUCCGGACGGAGGGAGUAGCUC